rnacentral:rRNA from 1 species
AUUGAACGCUGGCGGCAGGCCUAACACAUGCAAGUCGAACGAGUGGCGGACGGGUGAGUAAUGUCUGGGCAACUGCCUGAUGUAGGGGGAUAACUACUGGAAACGGUAGCUACUACCGCAUACCAUCGGAUGUGCCCAGAUGGGAUUAGCUAGUAGGUGGGGUAACGGCUCACCUAGGCGACGAUCCCUAGCUGGUCUGAGAGGAUGACCGGCUACACUGGAACUGAGACACGGCCCAGACUCCUACGGGAGGCAGCAGUGGGGAAUAUUGCACAAUGGGCGAAAGCCUGAUGCAGCCAUGCCGCGUGUAUGAAGAAGGCCUUCGGGUUGUAAAGUACUGUCAGUGGGGAGGCGUUACCCGAAGAAGAAGCAACGGCUAACUCCGUGCCAGCAGCCGCGGUAAUUC